GACGAACGCUGGCGGCGUGCUUAACACAUGCAAGUCGAACGAUGAAGCCUCACUUGUGGGGUGGAUUAGUGGCGAACGGGUGAGUAACACGUGAGCAAUCUGCCCUUGACUCUGGGAUAAGCGCUGGAAACGGUGUCUAAUACCGGAUAUGACGACUGGCCGCAUGGUCUGGUUGUGGAAAGAUUUUUCGGUUGGGGAUGAGCUCGCGGCCUAUCAGCUUGUUGGUGAGGUAAUGGCUUACCAAGGCGACGACGGGUAGCCGGCCUGAGAGGGUGACCGGCCACACUGGGACUGAGACACGGCCCAGACUCCUACGGGAGGCUG
rnacentral:rRNA from 1 species